ensembl:snoRNA
GGAUCGAUGAAGAGAACAAUUCCCUGAGGACGCUGAGGGACUGAUUUUAGAUGUCAAUCUGAGGUCC